rnacentral:rRNA from 1 species
AGGACGAACGCUGGCGGCGUGCUUAACACAUGCAAGUCGAGCGGUAAGGCACUUCGGUGUACACGAGCGGCGAACGGGUGAGUAACACGUGAGUAAUCUGCCCUUCACUUUGGGAUAAGCCUCGGAAACGGGGUCUAAUACCGGAUACGACAUCUCACCGCAUGGUGUGGUUGUGGAAAGUUUUUCGGUGGGGGAUGUGCUCGCGGCCUAUCAGCUUGUUGGUGGGGUAAUGGCCUACCAAGGCUUCGACGGGUAGCCGGCCUGAGAGGGUGACCGGCCACACUGGGACUGAGACACGGCCCAGACUCCUACGGGAGGCAGCAGUGGGGAAUAUUGGACAAUGGGCGGAAGCCUGAUCCAGCAACGCCGCGUGAGGGAUGACGGCCUUCGGUUGUAAACCUCUUUCACCUACGACGAAGCGAGAGUGACGGUAGUAGGAGAAGAAGACACCGGCCAACUACGUGCCAGCAGCCGC